GACGAACGCUGGCGGCGUGGAUUAGGCAUGCAAGUCGAACGGUAGGAUACCUUCGGGUAUCUGAGAGUGGCGAACGGGUGAGUAACACGUAGGUGAUCUACCCUCAAGAUUGGGACAACCCAGGGAAACUUGGGCUAAUACCGGAUGAAAGCAGCAGUGAUGUUGUUUGAAAGGUGGCGUAAGCUGCCGUUUGGGGAUGAGCCUGCGCUCUAUUAGUUAGUUGGCGGGGUAAAGGCCCACCAAGGCGAUGAUAGAUAGGCGGCCUUAACGGGUGGUCGCCCACACUGGGAUUGAGAUACGGCCCAGACUCCUACGGGAGGCAGCAGUCGAGAAUAGUCUACAAUGGCCGAAAGGCUGAUAGUGCGACGCCGCGUGAACGAAGAAGCCCUUCGGGGUGUAAAGUUCUUUUAUAUGUGAGCAGUGCUUUCUAUGUGAACAGCAUGGGGAAGAGAUAUUAGCAUAUGAAUAAGCAACGGCUAACUCCGUGCCAGCACGG
rnacentral:rRNA from 1 species